GAUGAACGCUGGCGGCGUGCCUAAUACAUGCAAGUCGAGCGAACAGAUGAGGAGCUUGCUCCUCUGACGUUAGCGGCGGACGGGUGAGUAACACGUGGAUAACCUACCUAUAAGACUGGGAUAACUUCGGGAAACCGGAGCUAAUACCGGAUAAUAUAUUGAACCGCAUGGUUCAAUAGUGAAAGACGGUUUUGCUGUCACUUAUAGAUGGAUCCGCGCCGCAUUAGCUAGUUGGUAAGGUAACGGCUUACCAAGGCAACGAUGCGUAGCCGACCUGAGAGGGUGAUCGGCCACACUGGAACUGAGACACGGUCCAGACUCCUACGGGAGGCAGCAGUAGGGAAUCUUCCGCAAUGGGCGAAAGCCUGACGGAGCAACGCCGCGUGAGUGAUGAAGGUCUUCGGAUCGUAAAACUCCGUUAUUAGGGAAGAACAAAUGUGUAAGUAACUAUGCACGUCUUGACGGUACCUAAUCAGAAAGCCACGGCUAACUACGUG
rnacentral:rRNA from 1 species